ACGAACGCUGGCGGCAUGCCUAACACCUGCAAGUCGCACGAGACCUUCGGGUCUAGUGGCGCACGGGUGCGUAACGCGUGGGAACCUGCCCUUAGGUUCGGAAUAACUCCCCGAAAGGGGUGCUAAUACCGGAUAAUGUCUUCGGACCAAAGAUUUAUCGCCUUUGGAUGGGCCCGCGUUGGAUUAGCUAGUUGGUAGGGUAAAAGCCUACCAAGGCGACGAUCCAUAGCUGGUCUGAGAGGAUGAUCAGCCACACUGGGACUGAGACACGGCCCAGACUCCUACGGGAGGAAGCAGUGGGGAAUAUUGGACAAUGGGCGAAAGCCUGAUCCAGCAAUGCCGCGUGAGUGAUGAAGGCCUUAGGGUUGUAAAGCUCUUUUACCCGGGAUGAUAAUGACAGUACCGGGAGAAUAAGCUCCGGCUAACUCCGUG
rnacentral:rRNA from 1 species